rnacentral:rRNA from 1 species
UACGUAGGUGGCAAGCGUUGUCCGGAUUUAUUGGGCUUAAAGGGUGCGUAGGCGGUCCCAUAAGUCAGUUGUGAAAUACUCUAGCUUAACUCGAGGGGUGCCAUUGAUACUGCGGGACUUGAGUAGAGUUGAAGUGGGCGGAAUUGACGGUGUAGCGGUGAAAUGCUUAGAUAUCGUCAAGAACACCGAUAGUGAAGACAGCUCACUAAGCUCAAACUGACGCUGAGGCACGAAAGUGUGGGGAUCAAACAGG